GGGGGGGGGGGGGGGGGGGUAUUUAGUCAAUAGAUAUGUUAUUAAAAUGAAUGUGCAUUAUGCCAAAACCCACACAAAGUAAUAGUAGAAUGGGAAGUUUUUCAAACACAAGUACAUAAAUGAUGAGAAAUGCAUGCUCAUUUUAUAGCAGAAAUGUUUGCUAAUGCCAAUAAGUAAUGUUAGCAAAUUAGAAAUGAACCUAUGUCGCAGUUCACAUGUAUGGAAACAAAAACAUGACAAGAAAUAUUGUGUGUGGGGGAACUCAGUGUGAUAACUUUGGCAACGUCACUACUAACAUGGGCUGAUAGUGACCAGAGAAGAUGAUGGCUAUUAUGUGUUCACUGGACAAAAUCUUCAAGGCCAAUCUCAAAUCAAAAUCUCUUUUAGUUAUAAUAUUUAACAUUGGAAAAUAUUUUUAUUAAGAUGCAUUUCAAUGUUUAAAUAAUUAUGACUACAGCUCAAUAAGAAGUUUAAAAAAAAAAAAAAAGACAAGAACAACAGAUUUGUAACAUUUUUUACAAAAAAGCUUUAAGUUGAUUAAAACUUAGACAAUCAGCAAGACCAAAGAAAACAAAAAACUUUCAUACAGGAUUUUUCAAUUCAUACGCACACUUAAAUAUGUCUGGGUUUAAUUGAUUUUAUUUUUAUUUUUUUAUCUUAAUGUUUCAAAUCUAUGAUUAAAAUUCAAAUUUAAGAUCAAAUAGAAAAUAAUGAUGUCACAUAUAAAGUUUACCCGUUCCUGUGUCGUACAUUUCACAACGGUUGCUAGGGAUAGAACGGGGGACAACUCCAUUUCCCCUAAUCUAGUCAACUGAAGAAUAUUAAGUGCAGGAGUAACAAUGGCAGUGUUGACAUCUGGCUCUUUGGAGCGCCAUACUUAGCCCUUCAACCAUAUUCUCAUCUCUUUCAAAACAGAUGAUAAGAUAAGAGAAGUAGAAGAUAAUCUGUUUCAAUCAGAAUUAUUACAAGUGUUUGUUAGCAUUAUUUUGAGUUGUUUAAUAAAUAGAUUAGUUUUGCGUGUCAC